rnacentral:rRNA from 1 species
GACGAACGCUGGCGGCGUGGAUUAGGCAUGCAAGUCGAACGGUAUCAUCCUUUCGGGGGUGAGAGAGUGGCGAACUGGUGAGUAACACGUAGGUUAUCUACCCUCAAGACGGGACAACCCAGGGAAACUUGGGCUAAUACCGGAUGUGAGCAACUUUUAGUGUUUGAAAGGUGGCGUAAGCUGUCGCUUGGGGAUGAGCCUGCGUCCUAUUAGUUAGUUGGUGAGGUAACGGCUCACCUAGGCAAUGAUAGGUAGGCGGCCUUAACGGGUGGUCGCCCACACUGGGAUUGAGAUACGGCCCAGACUCCUACGGGAGGCAGCAGUCGAGAAUAGUCUACAAUGGUCGGAAGACUGAUAGUGCGACGCCGCGUGAACGAUGAAUCCCUUCGGGGUGUAAAGUUCUUUUAUAUGUGAGCAGUGCUUCUUAUAUUAACAGUAUGGGGAGAGAGAUAUUAGCAUAUGAAUAAGCAACGGCUAACUCCGUG